rnacentral:rRNA from 1 species
UACAGAGGUCUCAAGCGUUGUUCGGAUUCAUUGGGCGUAAAGGGUGUGUAGGUGGCGCGCUAAGUCGGGUGUGAGAUUUCGGAGCUUAACUCCGAAACUGCAUUCGAUACUGGCGUGCUUGAGGACUGGAGAGAAGACUGGAAUUCAUGGUGUAGCAGUGAAAUGCGUAGAGAUCAUGAGGAAGACCAGUGGCGAAGGCGGGUCUCUGGACAGUUCCUGACACUGAGACACGAAGGCCAGGGGAGCAAACGGG